GAGCUGCACGGAAUUCCUGCCUUGUGUGUCCUCAAAGACACCCUCCGGUCAAAGGUGAAUCUGCUGCAUCCGGGACUUCACCUGCUUUGCGUGUAUGCAUGAAUUCUCUUUAAUUGUGUUGGAUUUUCAGUAAAGCACUCAGACUUGGAGCCAGCUUUUAAUUAUAUGCGUUUGACAGUGAAAGCUGGAUGAUGCCUUCCCUCAGUAUGCGUCUCUUAUUGUAAUGCUCUUUCUAAACAUAACAUACAUGCCAUGUUUAGAACUACAUAUGUUGUUAAUCCUGCAAUGUUGGGGACUCAUCAUCACCUAAUCCUCUCUUCUGUAAUCCGCUCGGAACUGCCGGAGCGGCUGGACAUCCUUUCACAAUUAGAAUCCGCUUAAAACUAAAGGCAAUGUAAAUGAUGCACAGCUGAAGCAAGGAUUCACAAGGUUGUGAAAAUAUUCACAAGUGUGCCAGCUUCACAUUCAAGUUGUUUUGAGAAAGGGGAGGCUGUCUGCUGAAAUAGGACCUGGUGUGUAGAGAGCGCUGCCCCCUGAGCUGGUGCUAGGAACAGGCCCUCCAGCGAUCCAGGACUGGGGUCUGAGGGGUCUAAAGCAAUACUCAAAGGUGUUUUGACCAUUGCCACAUUCAUAAUUUGGUCAUGUGACAAUUCACCUGGAGAGUGAAAUUUCCCCCACCCCUUGCCUGUCAUAAACCAACCGGAUGCUUCCCCUGUUGACUGACAUGCUUUACAGCCAGUAGCGUGCUUUAAAGACACUGCGGAGGUGACCUAGGACGUGAAACAGUAACAGACUUCCUGAGAGUAAGAGUAAUCAAGGGGAAAGAACCUGGCCCACACCAAGGCGAUGCCAAAUCCAAUCCAGUAGACAAGCUCCAAUAAAGUGGCCAGUGCAUUGAAGCAAAGAGGUGAAGAAUAAUACGUUUCCCCACUUCAGCCUGGAGAUUAAAACCAGUUGGAACUCUAACUAGAUCCCUUUGCCCCAGUGAAGAUCAUGUUCUGGGUUUGAGAUUAAAUGUCAUGUUUUACAUAUUUUUGUUUUCAUAAAACAAGGUAAAUGGGGGGAAAAAAGAAAUGUAAACUCAGAUGAAGAAAUAGUAUCUGCCACUGGGGUGGAAAAAUCAAUACUGUGUUUUUCUUUAGCACUGAAGCUGUUCAGGGCCACUGUGCUAACUAACUGGAUCUUCACAUUUAUUAGAACUGCAACUGCAAAGGCAAACUACUGCAAUAAUGUAACAGUGUAGAGCGAGUGUAAGAAUUGUUAUGGGGGAUGUUUGAGGUAUUGGUUCAGAGAUGUUUGGCUUGCCAUGCCUGUGUGAUUGACUCAGAGAUUGUUUAGCUAAGAUGGGAGAGAGCGUGAGUAAAGAAAAUGGGGACUGUUCU